AACGGCCGUACCAUGCUGAAUAUACCAGUUCUCGUUAGAUCACCGAAGUUAAGCAUCAUUGGGCGCGGUCAGUACUUGGGUGGGUGACCACCUGGGAACACUGUGUGCCGUU
rnacentral:rRNA from 1 species